AUUGAACGCUGGCGGCAGGCCUAACACAUGCAAGUCGAACGAGUGGCGGACGGGUGAGUAAUGUAUGGGAAACUGCCAGAUGGAGGGGGAUAACUACUGGAAACGGUAGCUAAUACCGCAUACCAUCGGAUGUGCCCAGAUGGGAUUAGCUAGUAGGUGGGGUAACGGCUCACCUAGGCGACGAUCCCUAGCUGGUCUGAGAGGAUGACCAGCCACACUGGAAAUGAGACACGGGCCAGACUCCUACGGGAGGCAGCAGUGGGGAAUAUUGCACAAUGGGCGCAAGCCUGAUGCAGCCAUGCCGCGUGUAUGAAGAAGGCCUUCGGGUUGUAAAGUACUGUCAGCGGGGAGGCGUUACCCGCAGAAGAAGCACCGGCUAACUCCGUGCCAGCAGCCGCGGUAAUUC
rnacentral:rRNA from 1 species